rnacentral:rRNA from 1 species
AACGAACGCUGGCGGCAGGCUUAACACAUGCAAGUCGAACGCCCUCUUCGGAGGGAGUGGCAGACGGGUGAGUAACGCGUGGGAACCUACCCAGUAGUACGGAAUAACUCAGGGAAACUUGUGCUAAUACCGUAUACGCCCUACGGGGGAAAGAUUUAUCGCUAUUGGAUGGGCCCGCGUUGGAUUAGUUUGUUGGUGAGGUAACGGCUCACCAAGGCUACGAUCCAUAGCUGGUCUGAGAGGAUGAUCAGCCACACUAGGACUGAGACACGGCCCAGACUCCUACGGGAGGCAGCAGUGGGGAAUAUUGGACAAUGGGGGAAAACCCUGAUCCAGCCAUGCCGCGUGAGUGAAGAAGGCCUUAGGGUUGUAAAGCUCUUUCGCUAGGGAAGAUAAUGACGGUACCUAGUAAAGAAGCCCCGGCUAACUUCGUG